rnacentral:misc_RNA from 1 species
GAUGAAGAACGUAGCGAAAUGCGAUACUUGGUGUGAAUUGCAGAAUCCCGUGAACCAUCGAGUCUUUGAACGCAAGUUGCGCCCGAAGCCAUUAGGCCGAGGGCACGCCUGCCUGGGCGUCACACGUCGUUGCCCCCCCAUCUACUCCUUCGGGAUUGCGGGGGGCGGAUGAUGGCCUCUCGUGCGCCUCGUCGCGCGGUUGGCCUAAAUGCCAAGUCCUCGGCGACGCACGCCACGACAAUCGGUGGUUGCGAAACCUCGGUUGCCUGUCGUGUGCGGUCGUCGCGCAUCGAGGGCUCGAAAAAAUUGCCGGGCUUCGGCUCGACUUUCAACGCGACCCCAGGUCAGGCGGGGUUACCCGCUGAAUUUAAGCAUAUCAUAAGCGGAGA